UACGGAGGGUGCAAGCGUUAAUCGGAAUUACUGGGCGUAAAGCGCGCGUAGGCGGCUGGAUAAGUCGAUUGUGAAAGCCCCGGGCUCAACCUGGGAAUUGCAGUCGAGACUGUUCGGCUAGAGUGUGGGAGAGGGUGGUGGAAUUCCCGGUGUAGCGGUGAAAUGCGUAGAUAUCGGGAGGAACAUCAGUGGCGAAGGCGACCACCUGGCCCGAUACUGACGCUGAGGCACGAAAGCGUGGGGAGCAAACAGG
rnacentral:rRNA from 1 species